UUCAAAGAAAAUGCACAUUAGAGAACAAUAGAAGGUUAGUAAGGAAACAUAGAUAAGCUGGACAGCUUUGAAAGUAUCACGAUGAAUUUAUUAUAUUCCUUAAAAGAAAAAAAGCGAGCUGUGUGUCAAAGAUAUUUGCAGAUUCAUGUGUCUUUUUUUUUUUCCAGUUCUCCUCUCCUCUCCUACCCAGCCCAGCCCAGCCCACACAUGCCAUUUUUAUUUCUGGUGAUAGCAGCUUAACAUGAACAGCAAGAGUAGACUUGAAGGAGAAAAGAAGUUUCCAAAGAAAGGGCCCCUAACUUACUUCCUUGAUUUGGAGGGAAGGGAAAAGGAUGGAGGGGAGUUUCUCAGCCUUCCCUAUGAAAACCUCUCAGGCAGCAUCUUCUCCGUUGACCUCUUGGACCCACCCUAUAGCAUGGUAAGGUAGGCAACCAAGGUGUGACUAGGGGGGUGUCACAAGGUGACCCUACCCCCCAAAACUGUCCCUACUGAUCUGCCAUCAUGUCACCAUCAGUGCUUCCUUUGAAUGAAGACAUUGAAAGCUCAGGUUAAAGUACAAGUGUUUCCUGGGGGAGG
rnacentral:lncRNA from 1 species